rnacentral:rRNA from 1 species
GAUGAACGCUGGCGGCGUGCCUAAUACAUGCAAGUCGAGCGAACAGACGAGGAGCUUGCUCCUCUGACGUUAGCGGCGGACGGAUGAGUAACACGUGGAUAACCUACCUAUAAGACUGGGAUAACUUCGGGAAACCGGAGCUAAUACCAGAUAAUAUAUCGAACCGCAUGGUUCAAUAGUGAAAGACGGUUUUGCUGUCACUUAUAGAUGGAUCCGCGCCGCAUUAGCUAGUUGGUAAGGUAACGGCUUACCAAGGCAACGAUGCGUAGCCGACCUGAGAGGGUGAUCGGCCACACUGGAACUGAGACACGGUCCAGACUCCUACGGGAGGCAGCAGUAGGGAAUCUUCCGCAAUGGGCGAAAGCCUGACGGAGCAACGCCGCGUGAGUGAUGAAGGUCUUCGGAUCGUAAAACUCUGUUAUUAGGGAAGAACAAAUGUGUAAGUAACUAUGCACGUCUUGGCGGUACCUAAUCAGAAAGCCACGGCUAACUACGUGCCAGCAGCCGCGGUAAUAAGUAGGUGGCAAGCGUUAUCCGGAAUUAUUGGGCGUAAAGCGCGCGUAGGCGGUUUUUUAAGUCUGAUGUGAAAGCCCACGGCUCAACCGUGGAGGGUCAUUGGAAACUGGAAAACUUGAGUGCAGAAGAGGAAAGUGGAAUUCCAUGUGUAGCGGUGAAAUGCGCAGAGAUAUGGAGGAACACCAGUGGCGAAGGCGACUUUCUGGUCUGUAACUGACGCUGAUGUGCGAAAGCGUGGGGAUCAAACAGGAUUAGAUACCCUGGUAGUCCACGCCGUAAACGAUGAGUGCUAAGUGUUAGGGGGUUUCCGCCCCUUAGUGCUGCAGCUAACGCAUUAAGCACUCCGCCUGGGGAGUACGACCGCAAGGUUGAAACUCAAAGGAAUUGACGGGGACCCGCACAAGCGGUGGAGCAUGUGGUUUAAUUCGAAGCAACGCGAAGAACCUUACCAAAUCUUGACAUCCUUUGACCCCUCUAGAGAUAGAGUUUCCCCCUUCGGGGACAGAGUGACAGGUGGUGCAUGGUUGUCGUCAGCUCGUGUCGUGAGAUGUUGGGUUAAGUCCCGCAACGAGCGCAACCCUUAAGCUUAGUUGCCAUCAUUAAGUUGGGCACUCUAAGUUGACUGCCGGUGACAAACCGGAGGAAGGUGGGGAUGACGUCAAAUCAUCAUGCCCCUUAUGAUUUGGGCUACACACGUGCUACAAUGGACAAUACAAAGGGCAGCGAAACCGCGAGGUCAAGCAAAUCCCAUAAAGUUGUUCUCAGUUCGGAUUGUAGUCUGCAACUCGACUAUAUGAAGCUGGAAUCGCUAGUAAUCGUAGAUCA